rnacentral:rRNA from 1 species
GAUGAACGCUAGCGGCAGGCCUAACACAUACAAGUCGAGGGGCAGCACAUAAAGUGGUUUACUACUUUUGGUGGCGACCGGCGGACGGGUGCGUAACGCGUAUGCAACCUGCCUCCAACAGGGGGAUAACGGAGAGAAAUUUCCACUAAUACCCCAUAAUAUCAGAAUCGGCAUCGGUUUUGGUUGAAAACUCCGGUGGUUGGAGAUGGGCAUACGUUGUAUUAGAUAGUUGGUGAGGUAACGGCUCACCAAGUCCACGAUACAUAGGGGGACUGAGAGGUUAGCCCCCCACACUGGUACUGAGACACGGACCAGACUCCUACGGGAGGCAGCAGUGAGGAAUAUUGGUCAAUGGGGGCAACCCUGAACCAGCCAUGCCGCGUGCAGGAAGACGGCUCUAUGAGUUGUAAACUGCUUUUACAAGGGGAUAAAUCGGCGUACGUGUACACCGUUGAAGGUACCUUGGGAAUAAGGAUCGGCUAACUUCGUGCCAGCCGCCGCCGUAA